rnacentral:lncRNA from 1 species
AUUGUAAACAAAAAGAGGGGAUUGGUUUGAAUAGCCCUAUUGACCAAGAGAGUCAGUAUUACCGCAGCUUUGACUCUGUUGCAGGUAUGAAGUGAGUUCCAUACCAUGAAAAAGAUUUCAAUGGGACCAGGAAGACAACCCACCACUGGAACUUGCUUUGCUCUCGCUCCGCUCGUUCCCACCUGUCUUCUUCCCACUAUAGUGAAAGAUCUUUCACUUCACCAUAGCAGGAAC